AAUUGACUCCUCCUCCUCAUAUGCAACACUCUUACCCCUUGUUUGGGAUGUUUCAGCACCACCAGUACCAGAACUAUGAGAGCCUUGAGAUCUUUAAUAUGUACACAUUGGAGAUGGUUCAGAAGCAAUUCUAAUUCCACUUUGUCUUUGACUAGGUGGAUCUUGUGAACUACGACUACCACCUCCUUCAACUGUGGUUCCUCCUCCUCCUUGAUCACCACCACCAUCAUCAUCAUCACUACUAGAGCUGGAUAAAAUAAAAGAAUCAUCAUCACCAGCACCACCU
rnacentral:lncRNA from 1 species